rnacentral:misc_RNA from 1 species
CCUAUACGAUACAGUCGGUUAAAAAUGCUUGAUGUGUACAGAGGGACGGACAUGCAGUCCUGUAGCAACUUUUCGGAUGUGAUUGUGCAAGUUCCUUCACUUACACAAGAUGAACCUCUGGAGCCUCUCGCAUUAUGUGCACCCAGUCAGGAGGAAUUGGCUAUCUUGAAGGGAAUUGACAAGGGGGAUGUUCUGAGUAGUGGAGCUCCACAGACUACUAAAGAUGGAACAUUAGCUCGAAACUCAACUGAACAUACUCAACCAAGGCGCGGCAAACUAGGUAGCAGAGAAGAUUUAUCUUUUGAUGAUUCAAGAGAAGAAAGUACCGACAAUGCCAAAGUUUCAGUAGAGGACAGUAUUCUUCAUAGAGAAUGGGAGUCUGUCAAUAGAGAUCCAAGCACACCAGGACACUCACCUGUUCCUCAUGGUGGCGGCUUAUGGCGAUCCUCUUCAAUUGGUGCACGUUCACAUCUGCCGGCUAAUGAUGCUAGAGAUUUGCCAACGGAUAUCAGGUCAAGAACAUCUGAUAUUGGAUGGCUACAGAGCCAGAAAGAUAAGAAUACUGAUCGGGAAAGAGAUCUUACAGAUCCUUCUUACACCAAAAACGAAGGAUCUAAAUGGCAGUUUGGGGAUGAUCCUAUUCUGAAAAGGCAAUUAUCUGCUGCUAUGGACAAAGAGUUGGAGAUGAGGAAAAUUUCACAGUCAUCUCCGGAAGACCUAGUUCUAUAUUACAAAGAUCCACAAGGUGCAAUUCAAGGUCCUUUCUCAGGUAGUGAUAUUAUUGGAUGGUUUGAGGCUGGAUAUUUUGGUAUUGAUUUGCUAGUUCGAUUAGCUGCUGCACCACAUGAUUCACCAUUUUAUCUGCUGGGGGAUGUUAUGCCCCACUUGCGUGCUAAGGCUCGGCCACCACCUGGAUUUGGAGCGCCAAAGCCAAAUGCAGAUGCUCCAGGGGGUUUGAAUGCGAGCAGCUUCACUAAACUUCAUGCAGGUUCAAGUGAGAUUGAUACGGUAAAUAGUGAAAUGAAUUACAAGCAUAACUCAACAGAGGCUGAAAAUAGAUUUUUGGAGUCACUGAUGGCUGGCAAAGUAGGCCAUGCACCGCUUGACAAGUUUUCUCAGUCUGAAGCAGGCAUUCCAG